AAGGCGAACCCGAAAAGCCUAUUUUAAACAGAGUAGGAA
rnacentral:ncRNA from 1 species